GACGGGGCGGGGAGGGGCGGGGGGAGCGGGACGGGACCGGGGGGAGCGGGAGCGGGGGGAGCAGCCCCCACCGGAGGGUCCCGGCGCUGCAGGAGGGCCCCGCCGCCACCCUCCAGGAGCAGGUGAGCCACUGACUAACGCACAUUGUGCUCUCGGCGACCCCACUGUGCGUGUGACAGCGGCUAACCUGCUCCUCGGGCACCGCUGGGCGGCCGCCGCCUCGCCUCAAAGCGCCUCGCCUCAUCACACCUCGCCUCGCCGGCACGACGCACACCCAGGAGAUGCCACCCGUCCAUCUGUCCGUCCAGCCUUGCCCAGCCUCACCGCCACCAUCCGACCUGUGGGUGACUGCCCAUCACCAGCCACACCGAGCCUCACAGCUCCCAUCCGUCCGUCCGUCCAUCCGUCCGUCUGUCCCACCCAGAGUGACUGCCCAGCAAGGAGUUGGUGGCGAAGUUGCACGGGUGAAGGAGAGAGGUUUUUUUUUUUUUAACCCCCCCUCUCUCCGCCCCUGCUCGUCUCCAAAGUAAAUACGUGCUCGUGGCCGCCGUACCGAGUUCAAGAGGCGCUUUAUCCCAGCCGGUGACGUCUUGAUACCCAGUCAGUGACUAACUGAACUGCUAUUGCCAAGGGUGUGUUAAUAGAAGAAACCAUGCCUGGUAUUGCCCUGGAUGAGUCACCUUUAAAGAGAGACUCUGUAAUCUGUUAAAUGAGGAGCAGAAAGGAGCCUUGCUUUCCUUUUUUUGCUGUUGCUUGCUUCCCAUCCCACCCCUCACCUUUGCUCCCUCCUUUCUGCUUCAGGCGCUGGGGGUGUUUGGGUCCCGGCCGGGCUGCCCUGCACGCUCACGCUGUGAUAUCACACGGGGGACUCUGACUUCAUGGCCUGAGGAGCAGGAAGGCGAACGGGCAGGGACUCCUCCAGCUGUGCAGGGCAGCUGUCACUUGAAAUCGAGGAAGUGACGAGGCAAAUUGCUUCUUGAGCAAAGUUCUCUCUUUCGCUUUUGAGCCCAUUGAAGGAGCUGGGUGGUUGAAAAGUGUCUUUUUAGAGCACGGCUCGGCUUUAUCUCCUGCUUAAGCUAAUAAUAACCAGAUAGGAUUCGCUGCAGCCCUCCCAGGUUUCCUGAAAGGGUUUUCUGAAAGGUAGCCUCUCUUGCUUGGGCUGCUGGCAUGUAACCCCGGACUGCUGUACAGGCAUAAUCUCUUGAAGGACUCAGCAGCGCUCUGCUCAGUAAGUACUUAACCACACAGAAAAGCAGAGCGACAUCCUUCCUACAGAGCAAGUCUCUUAUAGAGAAAUUCUGCCUGUCCCCAUCUCCCCUGCCUGUGCUCAUUUGACAUUUCUCCCGUCAGGUCCCAGAGGAGCGUCUGCUCUUCAGAAAGGAAAAUCAGUUCCUUGCGUGCCUCGUGCUGCCUAGGUGAGUCAAGGCACACCAGAAAGUGAGGAGAACUGCCUGAGUUUACCAAAGCUGCUUUCACAUUUGCUCAGUAGCCAAAUGGGUCAUGUCUGACAGUGGAAAAAACAAAUUCUCAGCUUUCCUGUUCCCCAGCUGCGCUUUCCAGCUGCAGAGCUGCUGCUCUCUGAGCUGGCAGGGGUACUGGUGUAGCCAUGGGGAGAUCAGGGUGGGGGUAAACCUGCAAGAUAGCAGUACCUGCAAGAUACCAGUAUGGGUGGCUGUGUCCUGACAGCGCAUCUGCGUGCUGAAACUGAAGUCUGCCAGUGCUGUACCACCUUAUUUUACAGGUAACAAACCCAUGCCCGAAAACGAAGGCGCUCUGCUUCUCUCUGAAGAACUAGCCCUGCGUUCUGCCCCGUGCUGCUCAAUGCCUAACUGCUGGAGGUCCCACCAGCAGAAAUGGCUCUGCAGGUCGCCCAGUUGCUCUGGCAAGGUUUGUCCCAGUUCGCAUCAGGCAGCACUCGCUAUGAAAACUUGCAGCUUCCCGCUACCUACGAGACCAUCCUGUUGAGCUCCAGCAAGCAAAGGCGAGGGAUUGAAACGAGGGCAAGGUAGAAUGUGCUUGGUCUUUGCUGUGAGACACAGAAAGGAAAGCCAUCACUGUGAGGACAGGCAGCGCUCUGCGUGGACAGAGACGUGCACACAUACCAGUUCAGAUAGUUUCCCUUCUCUGGCUUCAGUGAGCUGCCCUUCCAGAAUCUGCACACCCGGGAGCGACAACCAGAGCAUCUGCACAUCAUUCAGAGAGCAAAACCAACAGGCAGUUUCUCCUCCAGUCAUUCACACCUUUCCUUAUGUAACUGGUGCUGAAGCGUGUGCUUUAAAAGCUGCUUGCCAAAUCCAGGGGCUGGGAGGAAGCAGAAAUGCUUCUAGCACUCUAGAUGAAUUUAAAAAGAAAACACAGAACCCACCAGGACACCCAAACCCUGGGGAGCACAUCCAAACACGCCGCUGCUCACGGGACGUUUCAGGUGGCUGCAGCAGAGUUGUCCUUUGAGAAACCAUUCCAGGUUGGUGCAGCGCUGGUACCCCGAGCUGCCCUUAAGCAUGCCUGGCUUUGCGAGCAGUCACAGUAUGGGUAGAUGGGUGAGAAACUGAGAAUCAUCGUCACACAGCACUAAAAAAUAAAUCAGGUUUUGUCACACACUGAGCGGCUUCAGGAGUGGCACAGGGAAACGACUGAACCUGAGCCUGUGGCUGAACUCCACUCCUGCCCCAUGCCUUGUGCUGAGAGAGCCUGUGGGUACCUCACAGGUCUCAGGAAACACCACCAAAAAAAGGCUGCACGUGGGAGAUGUACCCUGUGCUUUGUGGUGUUUGGGUGGCAGUGAGCGAGCCGCAUCCCACAGUAGGGGAAGGAAGAAGCUGUCCUGCUGCCUUCGGUGCCCGGGGACGCAGGGACACGACUGCGGCUCGCCCAGGCACAGCAUCCUCAAGCCACCCUACGUACUUGGAUCGCUGCCUCGCCUGCCACUCACUUGUUCACUCUCCAGGAGGCGUCGUAUGCUGGGCUUGAUUUUUUUUUUUUUUAAAGAAAAAUAAUAAUUUGCUUUGUUUUAAUCUCACAAUGAGUAAUUCCUUCCUACCCCUCAGUAGUGGCCUAGAAAAGGACAGCAUCAUCUCCACUGUAGCAAGAAGGCUUCUCCCAGGGCAUAAAAUUUUAAUUAGGAACAAUCAUGCAGCCUUGAAAUGGGAAUUGCAAGCAGCGAAAAGUCAAAUCAUCAAUAAAAUAUUCAAUGGCA